GACAACGCUGGCGGCGUGCUUAACACAUGCAAGUCGAACGGAGUGCCUUAGAUUGAGACUUCGGUCAAUAUCUUUGGUUACUUAGUGGCGGACGGGUGAGUAACGCGUGAGUAACCUGCCCUUCAGAGGGGGACAACAGUUAGAAAUGACUGCUAAUACCGCAUGAGACCACAAUGCCGCAUGGCAUAGGGGUCAAAGAUUUAUUGCUGAGAGGUGGGCUCGCGUCCGAUUAGAUAGUUGGUGAGGUAACGGCUCACCAAGUCGACGAUCGGUAGCCGACCUGAGAGGGUGAUCGGCCACAUUGGGACUGAGACACGGCCCAAACUCCUACGGGAGGCAGCAGUGGGGAAUAUUGGGCAAUGGGCGAAAGCCUGACCCAGCAACGCCGCGUGAAGGAAGAAGGUCUUCGGAUCGUAAACUUCUGUCCUAAGUGAAGAGAAGAAGACGGUAGCUUAGGAGGAAGCCCCGGCUAACUACGUG
rnacentral:rRNA from 1 species